CGUUUGUGACCUGGGGUUAGGUGAGAGUUGUUUCUGGUACCUACUGGUGGUAGGGAAUUCAAAUUUGAAUUUGAAUUAUAGGUUUUAGGGUUUAUACAUAGGUCUAUGUGUAAUUUGUGGAUUAGUUGGAGAGCAGAUGGGUUUGGUCGCAAAUCGGCAAGUAAAUCGGAUGAAACGAAAUCGUAGUUUCAUUGCCUUCGUCGUGCUGAACGCGAUGGUGCAAUCCGUUCGGAAAUCCGAUGAACGGACUGCCGGAUAUUGCAUGAAGUUCGCUAGGGGGUCGAGAGUGGAAAAUCGGGAAAUUCGCAAAAGUCGUAAUAUUUUAUGUACCGUAUCGCGCGAGAUAGAUUGUAGUGGUGUAAAAGCGCGAUUGUUA
rnacentral:lncRNA from 1 species